UACGUAGGGAGCAAGCGUUGUCCGGAAUCAUUGGGCGUAAAGCGCGCGUAGGUGGCCCGGUAAGUCCGCUCUGAAAGUCACAGGCUCAACCUGUGAAAGCGGGUGGAUACUGCCGGGCUAGAGUCCGGAAGGGGAGACUGGAAUUCCUGGUGUUGCGGUGAAAUGCGCAGAUAUCAGGAGGAACACCGAUGGCGAAGGCAGCUCGCUGGGACGGUACUGACGCUGAGGCGCGAAAGCGUGGGGAGCAAACAGG
rnacentral:rRNA from 1 species